GACGAACGCUGGCGGCGUGCUUAACACAUGCAAGUCGAACGGAAAGGCCUCUUUCGGGGGGUACUCGAGUGGCGAACGGGUGAGUAACACGUGAGUAACCUGCCCUUGACUUUGGGAUAACUUCAGGAAACUGGGGCUAAUACCGGAUAGGAGCUCCUGCUGCAUGGUGGGGGUUGGAAAGUUUCGGCGGUUGGGGAUGGACUCGCGGCUUAUCAGCUUGUUGGUGGGGUAGUGGCUUACCAAGGCUUUGACGGGUAGCCGGCCUGAGAGGGUGACCGGCCACAUUGGGACUGAGAUACGGCCCAGACUCCUACGGGAGGCAGCAGUGGGGAAGAUUGCACAAUGGGUGGAAGCCUGAUGCAGCAACGCCGUGUGCGGGAUGACGGCCUUCGGGUUGUAAAACGCUUUCGCUCAUGACGAAGCUUUGUGUGACGGUAGUGGGUAAAGAAGCACCGGCUAACUACGUG
rnacentral:rRNA from 1 species